rnacentral:rRNA from 1 species
GUGCCAGCCGCCGCGGUAAUACGGAAGGUGCAAGCGUUGUUCGGAAUGACUGGGCGUAAAGAGCACGUAGGCGGCUUCGUAAGUCGGAUGUGAAAGCCCCGGGCUUAACCUGGGAAUUGCAUCCGAAACUACGAAACUUGAAUGCUUGAGAGGUUGGUGGAAUUCCAGGUGUAGGAGUGAAAUCCGUAGAUAUCUGGAGGAACACCGGAGGCGAAGGCGGCCAACUGGCGAUGCAUUGACGCUGAGGUGCGAAAGCGUGGGGAGCAAACAGGAUUAGAAACCCCAGUAGUCC